AUACUUAUUUACUGUACCCACACAUAUUAUAUACCGUUUUUCUCGCCAUUAAAUGGACUUUAUAAAGAUACCAUUAAUUUUUUCAUAGCUUUGUAUUUCCUAUCCAAAAAAAUAUAAAAUAAUUUAAAAAAAAAUCAAAACAAAACAAAAAAACACAAACUAUGUUACGCAUCUACAACCAUCGAAAAACACACAUUCUAUUUAUUUUAUAAAAUGUGACCCUAUUUCCAAAAAAGAAAAUAUUUACAUGUUCUUUGCUUUUUUUCUAUUUCCAAACCAUAUUUUUUUUUUAAUUACCAAUAGUCAGUAUAACCCUGAUAUCGUUCAUGAGUCCCUGAAUAACCCUUGACAUGAUGUAUAUAUUUUUUUGGGAGACAACACAAAAUAUUGAUCUAGGCACAUUUUGGUCUAUUUCAUGCCACCAUUAAACCGUCGAUAUUUAAUAAAAUAAAUAAAAAUGUAAUCUCUUUUUCAAUAGAUGUUUACCAAACUUUAGCUUUCUCACUGAAAACAAAUACAAGCUGCUUGUAAAGUUAUGGCACAAAUGUUUGCAAAGGCUUCUCUGCGAUCCCCUUUGUUAAAAAAUAGCAGACAUAUAGUUUUGUCAUUGCUUUUUGGUCAUUUAAAUGCCACUGCGCACCACACUUGUAUUAUGACCAGCAGUUAAUUAGGCACCUUGUAGGGUUAAUUUUUGCUUUAGUGUAGAGAUCAGCUUCCCACCUGGCACAUCACACCCCCUGAUCCCUCCUUGCCCCCCCCCCUCAAAUAGCUCUCUUCCCUCCCCACUUCACGUAUUGUUAUCACCAUCUUAAGUACAUACUGAAAGUCUGCCAGUAAUAAGGUAAAAGUAAUUUUAUUGUAUAUUUAUUUAGUGUUGGAUCCCCAUUCAGCCCCCAAACUCCCUGAUCCCCCCAUUCAGCUUUCUAACACACCUCACUCUGCCUAUUUUCCACCAUCUUGGGUACUUGCAGCUGUCUACUUCUACCCAGGUUGCACGUGGCAAGAUUAAUUUUUAAAUUAAAAAAAAAUUAUUUGAGAUUUCUUGUUAAAAAAUAUUUAUUUGUAUGAUUUUAAUCAGUUGCCUAAUAAUAAGAUAACUAAAUAAGAAGGCAACUUUAGCACAUAAGAAGAUGGCAGAAUAAUAAACCAACUUCAUCCUCAUAUUUAAUUAAUGUAUUUUAAUAAUACAGACUAUCAUUUUUUAAUAUUAAAUAUUAAAAAUGUAAAUUAUGAUCAUAUGUUUACCUACAGAUGCCAUAUCUAUGAAUUGGCAAGAUCAGCAGAAGUGGAGCAUUUGUUUCCUGAAAUGAUUGCUAAUGUCAUUGAAGGACAAGUUGCAACACUAAUUGAAAAAUAAAAUUCAGUGGCCGAGAAAUAAGGUUUUAGAUUUAAUCUCGUUCUAUGUUGAAUUCAAAGAGAAAUUUGAUUCUCUGAACCUGACCAAAAUCAAGGUUUGGAGACUCAUAGCAGAGAGGCUGAGGGAGGAAUCCUUUCCGGUCUGUAUCGAACAAGUCGAAAGCAAGUGGUGUGGCUUGAAAAAAACAUACAAAUCAGUAAAGGACCACAAUAAAAAGUCAGGAAAUAGUUCACGCUAUUGGGAAUUCUUUGAUGCCAUGGAGGAGGCAAUUGGGAAAAUGCCGGAAAUCGCACCGGUCGCCACCUUGCAAAGCAGCGAACAGAAUGAAGUUUCUGCUUCUACUUCGACCGCAAACAGUUUGGUAACAACUCCCAGUAGCUCACCUCACGAUUCCAAAACUCCUCUUUCAACCCCAAAACAACAAAAUAAAAGAAGUGUUGAAGUAGUAAGUGAUGUACUUUCAGAAUUCCGGGAAGAUUUGAGAAUCAGAAGGGAGGAAAGGAAAGAGGAGAGGAAGCAAUUAUUUUCAUUACUAGAAAAAUUGAUUGAGAAAUAGUCAAAAUAUCCUGUUUGAUAUUUACUCAUUUUUGUUUUGUUUUCCACAGUUAUUUAAAUAAGUUAUAUUAAUAAAAAAAUAAAAAAUAGUUUUUUCAUUAAAAAAAGUUACUUAUUGCAGAUAAA